rnacentral:sRNA from 1 species
GUCAAAAUAACCGUUUGUUUAACUGUCAAUUCGAUUUAAAUUUAAGGAACAUAGCAUCCUUCAGGUGGAAAAUAAUUGUCUGUCAACUGGGACACAACGUGCAAGCAGACUCAAAGAUUUGUCUUUUGGCCGAAAGUUCGGGAAUGAAGCGGACUUUAAAAACGUUUGGGGCUCUGCCAAGCACGAUCUUGGCUCUCCAAUUAUUUUGAUGCCGCUUAGAAAUUAUAGGAUAUUGGAUGAUUGGUUCUCUCAUGAGUUUUCUGCCCAUUAUUCAACUUUAAUAUUAACAACCAACUGAUAUCGAUGAAAAACCGCAAAUCUUUGAAAGAACAAAUACUACCUUAUGAAUUAUUACAAAACCAAUAUGAGAAACACGGACUUAAAAUAGACUCACCCACACAUCUGUAGAAACAAUGGCUUGGAAUAGCGUCGAGGGACUUUUGAAAAAUCCCUUAUCAAUUCAACACUUCUGGAUACACCAUCGGAAUGUGGCCGCCACUUGCAGCCGGCAAUUGCCAACAAUUGCCAGUUGCGAGACAUCAUAUGGAAAACUUCCAUGCCCCGAAGGGAUGAUGACAAAUAAGGAUGAGUUUACUAGCAUAUUACUCUCUUUCUCGCUUUCCUUCCGCUGAUUUAAGAUCCAUCUAGUGGAAUCACUUGCAACGCCAAGAGGGCAAGAAAAUAAAUAAGAGGUUGCAUCUUGCUUCGCAGUGCAAUGAGUACAUACCCUUAAUUGGUCUCUCAAAGGGAAACGGCGCUGCGGAUGACUAUAGAAGAUUUAUGCAGCUGAAAUGCGAAUGGAUCGGACUAUAUUGGUGUUUAUAAUUGCAGUCCCGAAACCGGAUUUCAUUAUUUUGGACAAUAUUAAAGUUAAGUCAUCAUUAGAAAAUGCAAUCAACACUCCCCAGAAGAUAUUAGAACCUUAUCUCUGUAUGUAGGGGAUCUAUCUUUUAUAGUAGUUGAUACCAAAUAUUCUUAUUCAGCCUCCUCGCAC